rnacentral:tRNA from 1 species
CUCUUCUAGCAUACUAAUUACAAU